AUGAACGCUGGCGGCGUGCCUAAUACAUGCAAGUCGAGCGAACAGACGAGGAGCUUGCUCCUCUGACGUUAGCGGCGGACGGGUGAGUAACACGUGGAUAGCCUACCUAUAAGACUGGGAUAACUUCGGGAAACCGGAGCUAAUACCGGAUAAUAUAUUGAACCGCAUGGUUCAAUAGUGAAAGACGGUUUUGCUGUCACUUAUAGAUGGAUCCGCGCCGCAUUAGCUAGUUGGUAAGGUAACGGCUUACCAAGGCAACGAUGCGUAGCCGACCUGAGAGGGUGAUCGGCCACACUGGAACUGAGACACGGUCCAGACUCCUACGGGAGGCAGCAGUAGGGAAUCUUCCGCAAUGGGCGAAAGCUUGACGGAGCAACGCCGCGUGAGUGAUGAAGGUCUUCGGAUCGUAAAACUCUGUUAUUAGGGAAGAACAAAUGUGUAAGUAACUAUGCACGUCUUGACGGUACCUAAUCAGAAAGCCACGGCUAACUACGUG
rnacentral:rRNA from 1 species